rnacentral:rRNA from 1 species
CCUACGGGAGGCAGCAGUAGGGAAUCUUCCGCAAUGGGCGAAAGCCUGACCGAGCAACGCCGCGUGAAUGAUGAAGGCCUUCGGGUUGUAAACUCCUGUUAUAAGGGAAGAAAGGUGCUAGGUGGAACUGACUAUCACUUGACGGUACCUUACGAGCAACCCACGGCGAACUACGUGCCAGCAGCCGCGGUAAUACGUAGGUGGCAAGCGUUAUCCGGAAUUAUUGGGCGUAAAGAGCGCGCAGGUGGUUAAUUAAGUCUGAUGUGAAAGCCCACGGCUUAACCGUGGAGGGGCAUUGGAAACUGGUUGACUUGAGUGCAGAAGAGGGAAGUGGAAUUCCAGGUGUAGGGGUGAAAUGCGUAGAGAUAUGGAGGAACACCAGUGGCGAAGGCGACUUCCUGGUCUGCAACUGACACUGAGGCGCGAAAGCGUGGGGAGCAAACAGGAUUAGAUACCCCUGUAGUC